rnacentral:rRNA from 1 species
AUUGAACGCUGGCGGCAUGCCUUACACAUGCAAGUCGAACGGCAGCACGGGAGCAAUCCUGGUGGCGAGUGGCGAACGGGUGAGUAAUAUAUCGGAACGUGCCCAGUAGUGGGGGAUAACUGCUCGAAAGAGCAGCUAAUACCGCAUACGACCUGAGGGUGAAAGGGGGGGAUCGCAAGACCUCUCGCUAUUGGAGCGGCCGAUGUCAGAUUAGCUAGUUGGUGGGGUAAAGACCUACCAAGGCAACGAUCUGUAGUUGGUCUGAGAGGACGACCAGCCACACUGGGACUGAGACACGGCCCAGACUCCUACGGGAGGCAGCAGUGGGGAAUUUUGGACAAUGGGCGCAAGCCUGAUCCAGCAAUGCCGCGUGCAGGAAGAAGGCCUUCGGGUUGUAAACUGCUUUUGUCAGGGAAGAAAUCCUCUAGGUUAAUACCCUUGGGGGGAUGACGGUACCUGAAGAAUAAGCACCGGCUAACUACGUGCCAGCCGCCGCGGUAAGAC